rnacentral:lncRNA from 1 species
UAAAAUUAAAAAAAUUCUCUUCAAAAAUUUCCUUACAUCAGCAAGAAAUAUAAAUAUUACAUAACUAAUUAUAUGUGCAAUAUAAUUAUGAGACGAAUAAAGCCAAACGACCGGCGAGAAUGACCGCACCGAUGACCUCGCACUCAUAUGGAUGCUUGUCCCGUGUGAAUAAAAUAAUGCUCGACUCCCCAUCUGUAUAUAUACGAUCAUUCCCGAUAUCAAACUCGUUGUUCGUGUAACAUGAUUGUUAUAAGACCAUGUGCGGUCCCACCACAUGCACACCCUCCAAAUCAGUUGUGAUUGACAUGAGAUUACAUUGUCCUUGUAAUAGUCUCAUUCUUUAAAUAAAAAAAAAAAAAAAAAAAAAAAACAUUCUUAUAUAAUAUUUUGACAUCAUUUUAACUAUGAAAUCUUCAAUAAAAUAAUAUUAUAUAUAAAUUGAAAAAAAUUUCUUAUUUUUUAACUAUACAUUUCUCAUUGAUAUACUGUUCAAAAAUAACUUUUCCCCCAAUACAGGGCUCAAAGGAGGGCGAAUCCUUGACAAUGUUUUGUGAGAGUGAUUUCUUUGAACCUUUUGAAAAUGAGUUGUAUAAAUUUAGACCACUGAUCAAAUUUGGGACGGCUAGACACGUUGAGGAUCUCAUAACCCUCAAAUUGAACGGAUUGUUUUCAGAAUAUUAUUGGGGAAAAAAAAAAGAAGCAGCUAAAAUGUGAACUUAAUCUAGAGUAACUAGACGUUACAUAAAUGAAUAAGUUGUAUAAAUUUAGACCGACUGUUCAAAUUUGGAGCGAUCAGACACAUCUAGGCUCUUCCUUAACCCCCAAUUUGAACAGAUUGUUUUCAGAAAAUCAUUAAAGGAAUGCUAAA